AAUUUACAAGAAGCUAAACUAAUCUUAUGAAUGUAUUUGUUCAACAAUCUCACAAUUUCUAGCAAUAAUUUGCCACUUUAUUCUUUUUGUCUCUUUUGACUAACAAAAUAUCUUUUCCAUUUACAUGUACACAACGGAUUUGGAUUCUGUGCAGUUGACUGCACUACAGUCACUAAAUCUGGAUCGUCUGAUCAAGAUCAGACGGCUCAGAUUUUAAGAUUAGAUUCUAAUUAUAAAAUCUGAUCUUAAACUUUGGACUGUCUGAUCUUAAUCAGACGGACUGGACAUGAUCGACUGCACUGCAGUCACUAAAUUGCUGACUGCAUUAAACCCAAAUCCGUACACAACACAAUAUUUUCUUUUUCUUAAAAUAUAAAAACAAAAAAACCACUAAAAUAUAUGCCUCCAUAAAAAAUGGAUCAUCAAAAUGGCAUAAUAUGAGAAGUCUUAGUAUCAU
rnacentral:lncRNA from 1 species